UACUUUUGAUUUGAAUUGUUCGAAGUAUUCUUAAUUCUCUUUUGAGUAACAUUGUCAUUGUCUUCAUCUUCACUAUUUGUCCUAUUCCUUUUUGUUGGUAGUGUGUUAUUUGCAAUUGGGUUACUGUUUGUAGCAUAGAUGACAACAUCAUGUAAUGAGAUUAUGGUGUAGGAAAUUGUGGAUUUUUCUUUCCUUUAGGUGUUCUGCUCGGGGUUCAUUUGGUGCAACCAUUAUUGUUGAAUGAGUUAUUAUUGAUAAAGAAAUCCCUAGUUUAAG